GGGAUAAGGUUUCGACUUUUUGCGGUUUGGCUUUUGCGAUCUUCUUUUCAGUGUCAUCCUUUUGAAACCUUUACGUUUUUUGGUGCCUUUUUCAAUACUGACAAGCAGUUGGUCAAGCACUCUAUGCUGGAGAAGCUGGUGAAAAUUAGGGUUUUAUUUACUUAUUUUUUCUCUUUUUCUACCAUUUGGCGGUCCAUCAAUCAUGGUGUUUCAUAAAUUUUCUCUUUGAUAGAUUUUGUAUUGUAGAGAGGGAAAGAAAGGUGUGAACUGUGGACGGUGGAUCAGAGAGAAAACUGUUCUUCUAUUUCUUCUAUGCCCUUUUUCUUCUAGGGAGGGAGUGCAAAGUCAUGCAUGGAGCGUUGACAAUGAAACUGCUUUUUCUCUCUUUCUGAUGAAAAUGCUGUUGUAAUGACCUUGAUUCAACGCUGGAGGUGGCUGAAGCUUUUAAGGUCAAUACUUGAUGGACAAGAAACAGGAACAAAAUCCAAGCAUAUCCUUGCAAAACUGAUAGCCACCUUUCCGAUAAACCAAAAGUCAGGGAGAUUAUAUUCAUAAAAUAGAAUAGAGAGAUAAAAGAGAGAAUAGAAAAGGGUGUUCUUUUUGUUUUCCCAUUUGGAUGAGUUUUCAGGGUUUGAUGAUCAGUUGUUGUAGUAGUAGUGUUAAUAGUGGCGGUGGUGGGGGUUCAAAGAUUGUGGCUGAUAUUGUUACACGCAGCAAUACCAUGCAUAGUGGUGGCAUUGCUCAUCAGCCACCAGUCCUAACUCCAUCUAUUCCCAAAUCACCCGCCCUCUUCCUGUCUCUUGUAUGCCCCAUCUUACCACAUAUCGUUUUUCUUGAUUCAUUGUGUGCAUUAUUGUUCGUAAUUGUAUUUUGGGUUGGUGGUUCUCGUUGCUCUUGAUAAUUUUAUUAACAUUUUUUUGGUUAAUUUAUUUUAAUGGGAGUGCAGAAAGGCAAGAUGGAUAGUCACGGUGACAUGGGUCUACUUGGGGAACAUUUUGAUCCUAGUGUAAUGGGGAGGAUCAAGGAGGAUGGUUAUGAGAGCAGGUCUGGCAGUGAUAAUCUGGAAGGUGCCUCUGGGGAUGAUCAGGAAGCUGGAGAGGAUCAACGGGCCCGGAAAAAGAAAUACCAUAGGCAUACUCCUCAUCAAAUACAAGAGCUUGAAAUUUUCUUUAAGGAGUGUCCUCAUCCUGACGAAAAACAAAGGAUGGAGCUUAGCAGGAGGCUUGGCUUGGAAAGCAAGCAAAUCAAGUUUUGGUUCCAGAAUAGGCGAACCCAAAUGAAGACCCAAUUG
rnacentral:misc_RNA from 1 species